rnacentral:lncRNA from 1 species
GGGACACGCUGCUCGCACAUUUGCACACGUGUACAUGCAGACAGGCAGACAGACAGGCAGGCAGACAGACAGACAGACAGACAGGCAGACAGGCACGCACGCACGAACACACUGAGGAAAGUGACGACAGAGCAGGAUCUAAUUUCACAUCAGCUCGGAGUCCCGAGUUGUGCAGCGGGUGUGAGAGGAGCCGCUCGGUGUUUGUUGAUCCUCUCACCACCAUAUCACCUACAGCGCUGACCUCUCCCCUAAAACUGAUCAUGGACCCGUCUUUGCGCAGACUCCGAUUCCAAUUUCAUUGUCUCCGAGGGCAGCAGAUAAACCCGGGCUUGAACCAGUGAUGCCCCCCCGGGUGGAGGCACGCAGUGCACCACCGAAACUGAAAAGACCACAUUCACUCAGGGCAAUAGCUGUUCAACAUCCGAGGCUGCGACCCCGGCGUUGCUGGGGGAGUCUGAUCGGAGCGGUACCGGCUACAUCUAUACAUCUCUGCCUCCCCGCCAGGCCAGGAAGAGUCACAGACCAUUUCACUCGGGUAUUAAUGACCAACAACAGCCCAACUGCCUCUAAAACUAGAGUAUAUGAAACCCAUGAAAGCAUAUACACACACACACACACACACACACAGAGAGAGAGAGAGAGAGAGGCUGGGAGGAGGAAGGGGGUGUGGAGGGCAAGAUGCCAAGGCAAAGAGAAAUGAGGUGUGGGAAAGGCGAGGUAGAGGGAAAAAAACAAAGAGUCAAAAACAGAAAGUAGAUAAAGAUUGAGCGAUUCGAAAGGGCAUGUACUGUACAGGAUCACGAGCCGGAGAAAUAAACAACUGUCAAGGACUACACUCGCCAGCGACCUGGGGGUGCCAGUGGAAAUAUGAGGGGAAAACAAAGAUGGUGCAGCAUCAUUUAUGCAAACUCAGUUUACCGGCCUUCAGCAAAUGGAUGAUACAGAGGUCACCGGGUCUGUCAAGGGCAAGAAAAGAGAAGUUAGGUCCUCUAUUUGUUGAGAUUGGAGAAUGAAAUGAAGGCCUAUUUACGUAUCUACUAAGCUUUGAACGACAUUCUGGCAUCAUCUUUUUAUGUCGAUUUAUUGUUAUUUAAUUAACAGUUUACAGUUCAAUUCGGGUUUUUUGCUUGUUUAAACGAUGCUGACCAUAAAAAAUUCUCCCAAAAUUUCUGUGCGAAAUAAAACAGCAGUAUUUCAUAACUCAGUCAUGUUGCAGUUUGUCUUUCUUCAGAGGACUUGAUUAUAUGUUUCACAGUGGAGAUGGCUAGGUUAACGCAAAGUGCAUCCUGAACAAUGCAUUAUUAAUAUUUUAUUUUAUGAGCGGGGAAAAGAUUGUAGCAGAUUAGUAUCUUAUCGGUAUCGGUACUCAAGGUUGCAGGAUCCGUAUCGGAUCGAACACGAGAAAAAUUGGUAAUGUCCCGUCCCUAGAUCUUACAAACCACAGCGAAUAAGUGAUCAAUUAAACCACAGAUUAGUUUGAUAAAAUAAUAAUUUGUUACAGCCCUAUACUAACUGAUUUCCCCCCCCCAAAGUAGCGGUGUAAAAAAAAAAAAGCUUAAGGAGAGCUUGCUCAGGAUACUGCAGAUACAGACAGGAUGUGCAGUAUAUAUUAGAGGACAGACCUAUCAAUCAGCUACACGACAUAUGUCGGAGUGGCGUGCAGACAUCAGUGACAGUGCCGAUCAGUCAGCGUGAGCACGUGCAAAGUGUCGAGCUCCCGGCUCACAUCUUUCAGACGUCUCUCCUUGAUGUCCGGCCGAGAGGUCAGGAUCAGAGAGAGAGAUGAAGGCACCGUUUAAUCAGUGCCUCGCUGCUGGAGCGCCGGCCUCUGACCUCUGACCCCGACCGCAUGACCCUGCCCUCCAGCCGUUCUGCCGCUCACGGGCAGACUCAAAGGGGCUGCCGGUAUUGUCGUCGGGGGGGGCAUCGCCAAAAGAGCUGAGGGGUCGACGGGAGCUGGAGGACACAUCAGAGGCGUGACGGCCCCCUGCCGGGCCGAGCUCGUCCCCUCAGGUGCAGCGCAGGCGGGACCCUGCCCCCAUAUCCACAUCUUCACCACAUGGAUGUGAGGAGAUUCAACACAAUCGUGGCUUUACAUUAUUCAUGACACUCUUCCAUAUUUUGGAUAUAUCUUAAUAUAUAUGAUAUGUUUUUGUUUGUGAGUUUGUCUUGAUGCUCACUAUACAGUAG